rnacentral:rRNA from 1 species
UGAGGAAUAUUGGACAAUGGAGGCAACUCUGAUCCAGCCAUGCCGCGUGAAGGACUAAGGCCCUAUGGGUCGUAAACUUCUUUUGACGCAGAGCAAUAAGGAUUACGUGUAGUCUGAUGAGAGUAUGCGUCGAAUAAGCAUCGGCUAACUCCGUGCCAGCAGCCGCGGUAAUACGGAGGAUGCAAGCGUUAUCCGGAUUUAUUGGGUUUAAAAGGGUGCGUAGGCGGAUGGGUAAGUCAGCGGUGAAAUUCCAGUGCUCAACAUUGGCCGUGCCGUUGAUACUGCUGGGCUUGAAUGCGGAUGCCGUGGGAGGAAUGUGUGGUGUAGCGGUGAAAUGCAUAGAUAUCACACAGAACACCGAUUGCGAAGGCAUCUCACGAAUCCGCAAUUGACGCUGAGGCACGAAAGUGUGGGGAUC